rnacentral:rRNA from 1 species
GGUCAAGCGAACAAGUGCAUGUGGUGGAUGCCUUGGCGAUCACAGGCGAUGAAGGACGCGGUAGCCUGCGAAAAGCUACGGGGAGCUGGCAAACGAGCUUUGAUCCGUAGAUGUCCGAAUGGGGAAACCCGGCCCUUUUGGGUCAUCCUGGACUGAAUACAUAGGUCCAGUGAAGCGAACGCGGUGAACUGAAACAUCUAAGUAACCGCAGGAAAAGAAAUCAACCGAGAUUCCCAAAGUAGUGGCGAGCGAAAUGGGAUGAGCCUUGCACUCUUUAUUUGUAUUGUUAGCCGAACGCUCUGGAAAGUGCGGCCAUAGCAGGUGAUAGCCCUGUAGGCGAAAACAGUAUGAAAGAACUAGGUGUGCGACAAGUAGGGCGGGACACGUGAAAUCCUGUCUGAAGAUGGGGGGACCAUCCUCCAAGGCUAAAUACUCGUGAUCGACCGAUAGUGAACCAGUACCGUGAGGGAAAGGCGAAAAGAACCCCGGGAGGGGAGUGAAAUAGAUCCUGAAACCGCAUGCAUACAAACAGUCGGAGCCUCGCAAGGGGUGACGGCGUACCUUUUGUAUAAUGGGUCAGCGACUUACGUUCAGUAGCAAGCUUAACCGUAUAGGGCAGGCGUAGCGAAAGCGAGUCCGAAUAGGGCGUUCAGUUGCUGGGCGUAGACCCGAAACCAGGUGAUCUAUCCAUGGCCAGGAUGAAGGUGCGGUAACACGUACUGGAGGUCCGAACCCACUAACGUUGAAAAGUUAGGGGAUGAGCUGUGGAUAGGGGUGAAAGGCUAAACAAACCUGGAAAUAGCUGGUUCUCUCCGAAAACUAUUUAGGUAGUGCCUCGUGUCUCACCUUCGGGGGUAGAGCACUGUCAUGGUUGGGGGGUCUAUUGCAGAUUACCCCGCCAUAGCAAACUCCGAAUACCGAAGAGUGCAAUCACGGGAGACAGACAUCGGGUGCUAACGUCCGGUGUCAAGAGGGAAACAACCCAGACCGCCAGCUAAGGUCCCCAAAUAUAGCUAAGUGGGAAACGAAGUGGGAAGGCUAAAACAGUCAGGAGGUUGGCUUAGAAGCAGCCACCCUUUAAAGAAAGCGUAAUAGCUCACUGAUCGAGUCGUCCUGCGCGGAAGAUGUAACGGGGCUAAGCUAUAUACCGAAGCUGCGGAUGCGAGCUUGCUCGCAUGGUAGGAGAGCGUUCCGUAAGCCUGCGAAGGUGCCUUGUAAAGGGUGCUGGAGGUAUCGGAAGUGCGAAUGCUGACAUGAGUAGCGAUAAAGGGGGUGAAAGGCCCCCUCGCCGUAAGCCCAAGGUUUCCUACGCAACGUUCAUCGGCGUAGGGUGAGUCGGCCCCUAAGGCGAGGCAGAAAUGCGUAGCUGAUGGGAAGCAGGUCAAUAUUCCUGCACCAUUGUUAGAUGCGAUGGGGGGACGGAUCGCGGAAGGUUGUCCGGGUGUUGGAAGUCCCGGUCGCUGCAUUGGAGAAGGCGCUUAGGCAAAUCCGGGCGCGUAAUUCAAGGGUGUGGCGCGAGCUCCCUAGGGAGCGAAGCAAUUGGAAGUGGUUCCAAGAAAAGCCUCUAAGCUUCAGUCUAACGAUGACCGUACCGCAAACCGACACAGGUGGGCGAGAUGAGUAUUCUAAGGCGCUUGAGAGAACUCGGGAGAAGGAACUCGGCAAAUUGGUACCGUAACUUCGGGAUAAGGUACGCCCUUGUAGCUUGACUGGCCUGCGCCAGGAGGGUGAAGGGGUUGCAAUAAACUGGUGGCUGCGACUGUUUAAUAAAAACACAGCACUCUGCAAACACGAAAGUGGACGUAUAGGGUGUGACGCCUGCCCGGUGCCGGAAGAUUAAAUGAUGGGGUGCAAGCUCUUGAUUGAAGUCCCGGUAAACGGCGGCCGUAACUAUAACGGUCCUAAGGUAGCGAAAUUCCUUGUCGGGUAAGUUCCGACCUGCACGAAUGGCGUAACGAUGGCCACACUGUCUCCUCCCGAGACUCAGCGAAGUUGAAGUGUUUGUGAUGAUGCAAUCUACCCGCGGCUAGACGGAAAGACCCCAUGAACCUUUACUGUAGCUUUGCAUUGGACUUUGAACCGAUCUGUGUAGGAUAGGUGGGAGGCUAUGAAACCGGAACGCUAGUUUCGGUGGAGCCGUCCUUGAAAUACCACCCUGGUUUGUUUGAGGUUCUAACCUUGGCCCGUGAUCCGGGUCGGGGACAGUGCAUGGUAGGCAGUUUGACUGGGGCGGUCUCCUCCCAAAGCGUAACGGAGGAGUACGAAGGUACGCUAGGUACGGUCGGAAAUCGUGCUGAUAGUGCAAUGGCAUAAGCGUGCUUAACUGCGAGACCGACAAGUCGAGCAGGUGCGAAAGCAGGUCAUAGUGAUCCGGUGGUUCUGUAUGGAAGGGCCAUCGCUCAACGGAUAAAAGGUACUCUGGGGAUAACAGGCUGAUACCGCCCAAGAGUUCAUAUCGACGGCGGUGUUUGGCACCUCGAUGUCGGCUCAUCUCAUCCUGGGGCUGUAGCCGGUCCCAAGGGUAUGGCUGUUCGCCAUUUAAAGAGGUACGUGAGCUGGGUUUAAAACGUCGUGAGACAGUUUGGUCCCUAUCUGCCGUGGGCGUUGGAUAUUUGAAGGGGGCUGCUCCUAGUACGAGAGGACCGGAGUGGACGAACCUCUGGUGUACCGGUUGUCACGCCAGUGGCAUCGCCGGGUAGCUAUGUUCGGAAGAGAUAACCGCUGAAAGCAUCUAAGCGGGAAACUCGCCUUAAGAUGAGAUAUCCCUGGGGACUAGAUCCCCUUGAAGGGUCGUUCGAGACCAGGACGUUGAUAGGUCAGGUGUGUAAGCGCAGUAAUGCGUUCAGCUAACUGAUACUAAUUGCCCGUAAGGCUUGAUCCU